rnacentral:rRNA from 1 species
CGCUAGCGGUAGGCAUAACACAUGCAAGUCGUGCGGAAACAGUUCGGCUGUCGAGCGGCGAACGGCUGAGUAACACGUUGGUACCUGCCUCAAACUCAGGGAUAAGCCCGAGAAAUCGGGUCUAAUACCGGAUAGUCCUCGCUCUGCGAGGUAAAGCUUCGGCGGUUUGAGAGGGACCUGCGGCGUAUCAGGUAGUUGGUAAGGUAACGGCUUACCAAGCCAUUGACGCGUAGCUGGUGUGAGAGCAUGACCAGCCAGAAUGGGACUGAGACACGGCCCAUACUCCUACGGGAGGCAGCCAGUGAAGGAAUCUUCCGCAAUGGACGAAAGUCUGACGGAGCCAUACCGCGUGCAGGAUGACGCCUUUCGGGGCGUAAACUGCUUUCCUGAAGGAAGAAGUUCUGACGGUACUUCAGGAAUCAAGGGUCGGCUACUUACGUGCCACCAGCCGCGGUAAUACGUAGGACCAAAGCGUUAUCCGGAAUUACUGGGCGUCAAGCGAUCGAAGGUGGAUUAGUAAGUCAGGUG